AUACGGAGGAUCCGAGCGUUAUCCGGAUUUAUUGGGGUUAAAGGGAGCGUAGGCGGACGCUUAAGUCAGCUGUGAAAGUUUGCGGCUCAACCGUACAAUUGCAGUUGAUACUGGUCGUCUUGAGUGCAGUAGAGGAAGGCGGUAUUCGCGGUUGAGCGGGGAAAUGCUUUAAUAUUACGAAGCACUCCGAUCGCGAAGGCAGCUCACCGAGCCGGAACUGACACUGAUGCUCGAAAGUGCGGGUAUCAAACAGGAUUAGAUACCCUGGUAGUCCGCACAGUAAACGAUGAAUACUCGGUGUUUGCGAUACACGGUAAGCGGCCAAGCGAAAGCGUUAAGUAUUCCACCUGGGGAGUACGCCGGCAACGGUGAAACUCAAAUGAAUUGACGGGG
rnacentral:rRNA from 1 species